rnacentral:rRNA from 1 species
AGAGUUUGAUCCUGGCUCAGGAUGAACGCUGGCGGUCUGCUUAACACAUGCAAGUCGAACGCAACCUUCGGGUUGAGUGGCGGACGGGUGAGUAACGCGUGAGAAUCUGCCUUAGGGUCGGGGACAACCACUGGAAACGGUGGCUAAUACCGGAUAAGCCUUCGGGUAAAAGAUUUAUUGCCCUAAGAGGAGCUCGCGUCUGGUUAGCUAGUUGGUGAGGUAAGAGCUCACCAAGGCAGCGAUCAGUAGCUGGUCUGAGAGGACGAUCAGCCACACUGGGACUGAGACACGGCCCAGACUCCUACGGGAGGCAGCAGUGGGGAAUUUUCCGCAAUGGGCGAAAGCCUGACGGAGCAAGACCGCGUGAGGGAGGAAGGCUCUUGGGUUGUAAACCUCUUUUCUCAGGGAAGAAGCUCUGACGGUACCUGAGGAAUCAGCCUCGGCUAACUCCGUGCCAGCAGCCGCGGUAAUACGGAGGAGGCAAGCGUUAUCCGGAAUUAUUGGGCGUAAAGCGUCCGCAGGUGGCGAUUCAAGUCUGCUGUCAAAGCACGGGGCUUAACUCCGUUAAGGCAGUGGAAACUGAA